rnacentral:rRNA from 1 species
UACGUAGGGGCCUAGCGUUGUCCGGAUUUAUUGGGCGUAAAGAGCUCGUAGGCGGUUUGGUGAGUCGGGUGUGAAAUCUCCACGCUCAACGUGGAGGGGCCACCCGAUACUGCCAUGACUAGAGUCCGGUAGGGGAGUGUGGAAUUCCCGGUGUAGCGGUGGAAUGCGCAGAUAUCAGGAGGAACACCAACGGCGAAGGCAGCUCGCUGGGACGGUACUGACGCUGAGACGCGAAAGCGUGGGGAGCGAACAGG